AGGAAAAGAAACAAACAUGGAUAGCCCCAGUAACGGCGAGUGAAGCGGCUACAGCUCAAAUUUGAAAUCUGGCCCUCUUUGGGGGUCCGAGUUGUAAUUUGCAGAGGAUGCUUCGGCAUUGGCGGCGGUCUAAGUUCCCUGGAACAGGACAUCGCAGAGGGUGAGAAUCCCGUACGUGGGCGCCUGCCUUUGCCGUGUGAAGCUCCUUCGACGAGUCGAGUUGUUUGGGAAUGCAGCUCUAAAUGGGAGGUAAAUUUCUUCUAAAGCUAAAUACUGGCCAGAGACCGAUAGCGCACAAGUAGAGUGAUCGAAAGAUGAAAAGUACUUUGGAAAGAGAGUCAAACAGCACGUGAAAUUGUUGAAAGGGAAGCGCUUGCAGCCAGACGUGCCCGCAGUUGCUCACCCGGGCCCCGGCCCGGGGCACUCUUCUGCGGGCAGGCCAGCAUCGGUUUGGGCGGUCGGACAAAGGCCUCUAUCAAGUACCACCCCUCGGGGUGGCCUUAUAGGGGAGGCGCAAUGCGACCAGCCCGGACCGAGGUCCGCGCAUCUGCUAGGAUGCUGGCGUAAUGGCUGUAAGCGGCCC
rnacentral:rRNA from 1 species